rnacentral:misc_RNA from 1 species
UUUCGCUCCCCACCUCAGCAGGUCGGGAAGAGCUUCCCUGUCCGCUCUCACGAAGCCUCCUCCUCCCCGUCUCCCUCGCAAAGCCACCGCCUCCUCGUCUCCCUCUCGAAGCCGUCGCCGCCCACUGCCUCGCACUCUCUUGGACUGGAUCUGUCGUCGUCCGGUGAUUUUGCUGAACACGAGCACUUCCUGCUUCCUGGCACCGCGCGCUCGGCAACAGAUCUCCCUCCUCUUCGCUGGAGCCUGGGCCCGAGGAUCCUGCAAGCCGGCAGCUGGAGAAAGGCGAGCGACAUGGCGACCUCCACAAUGCGGCUGGUGAAGGACGAGAAAGGUGAGCACCUUAGCCUUGUCACAGAUAUUUUUCUUUUUCAUCGAUUAUUUUUCUUUUUCCAUCAAUCAUCGGUGGCUAGUGACCCGCUGCACCCUCUUUAUUUCUUUUCUGAAGCUGAAAACAUGCAUAUCUGUGAUGCAUAAUAUAUAUAUUAAUUUUUGACUAAACGAUGACACUUGCUUAGUUGGGAGCUAUUUUACAUGUGGAUUCAGUCAUGGCCUUUCACGUUGUGUGUAGCUAGCCUCCUGAAUUCACUUCUUUAGCUAAGAUAUUUCUGUAGAACGGCCACCAAGGCUAGGCUGGUUCAGUAGUCCAUGAUUUUCACAUUGUGUACAACCUCUGACCUCAGUUCUAAAUCUAGUACAAAGAUUUAUUGCAGAA